rnacentral:rRNA from 1 species
UACGGGGGGGGCAAGCGUUGUUCGGAAUUACUGGGCGUAAAGGGCUCGUAGGUGGCCAACUAAGUCGGACGUGAAAUCCCUCAGCUUAACUGGGGAACUGCGUCCGAUACUGGAUGGCUUGAGUUUGGGAGAGGGAUGCGGAAUUCCAGGUGUAGCGGUGAAAUGCGUAGAUAUCUGGAGGAACACCGGUGGCGAAGGCGGCAUCCUGGACCAACACUGACACUGAGACGCGAAAGCGUGGGGAGCAAACAGG